rnacentral:SRP_RNA from 1 species
GCAGCGCCUCUCUGUAACGCGAGUGCGGGACUUCAAAGGGUCGGCGGUGGGUGUGGGUCUUACUCCGGAACCAUCAAAGGGUCACGUUGAAAGUUUGUCCUCUCCAAAUCAAGGGUCGAGGCUGGGAACUCAAGGAAUUGAGGACUCGGCUUUGUUGAAGUGGGAGGGAACGCCUCAGGCUGGAAACAGAGCAGGGACAACUCCCCGCCCCUGAUGGUGGAAGGAUCGCAGACUUGAGUGGCUCGGGACU